rnacentral:rRNA from 1 species
UUCCGGUUGAUCCUGCCGGACCCGACUGCUAUCAGAGUGAGAUUAAGCCAUGCGAGUUAACGUAGCAAUACGUGGCGCACGGCUCAGUAACACGUAGUCAACAUGCCCAGAGGACGUGGAUAACCUCGGGAAACUGAGUCUAAACCGCGAUAAGUGAGGAUUUCUGGAAUGGUUCCUGACUAAAAUCUAUAUGGCCUCUGGAUUGGACUGCGGCCGAUCAGGCUGUUGGUGAGGUAAUGGCCCACCAAACCUGUAACCGGUACGGGCUCUGAGAGGAGGAGCCCGGAGAUGGGCACUGAGACAAGGGCCCAGGCCCUAUGGGGCGCAGCAGGCGCGGAACCUCUGCAAUAGGCGCAAGCCUGACAGGGUUACUCUGAGUGACUUUCGCUAAGAAAGUCUUUUGGCACCUCUAAAAAGGGUGCAGAAUAAGGGGUGGGCAAGUCUGGUGUCAGCCGCCGCGGUAAUACCAGCACCCCGAGUGGUCGGGACGAUUAUUGGGCCUAAAGCAUCCGUAGCCGGUUCUGCAAGUCCCCCGUUAAAUCCAGCUGCUCAACAGAUGGGCCGCGGAGGAUACUACAGAGCUAGGAGGCAGGAGAGGCAAGCGGUACUCAGUGGGUAGGGGUAAAAUCCGUUGAUCCAUUGAAGACCACCAGUGGCGAAGGCGGCUUGCCAGAAUGCGCUCGACGGUGAGGGAUGAAAGCUGGGGGAGCAAACCGGAUUAGAUACCCGGGUAGUCCCAG